rnacentral:rRNA from 1 species
UACGAAGGGAGCUAGCGUUGUUCGGAAUUACUGGGCGUAAAGGGCGCGUAGGCGGCUCUUUUAGUCAGGCGUGAAAGCCCCGGGCUUAACCUGGGAAAUGCGUUUGAUACUGGAGAGCUUGAGUGUGGGAGAGGUUGGUGGAAUUCCCAGUGUAGAGGUGAAAUUCGUAGAUAUUGGGAAGAACACCGGUGGCGAAGGCGGCCAACUGGACCACAACUGACGCUGAGGCGCGAAAGCGUGGGGAGCAAACAGG